UUUUCCUGAGAGAAGGAGAAGACAACCUAUUAGGAGAAAAGUUACAUGGCGACCUCUGCAUAGAAGAGGACAAAUAGAUCCUGAUUUUGAUGAUAUUUGACAAUAUGUCGCCAAAGUCGAAGAAGUUAGUGAAGGGGUUGUUCAAGGGCAUGGGCCUGUUUCAGGGCAAUUCUUUGAGCAACAACAGACAUCGAGAGUUGUUGAGCGCUACACAUGGAGAUGAGAGGUGCAACAUAAUGAGGAGGUGUAACACAAUGAGGAGGAGCAACACAAUGAGGAGGUGCAGCGUGCGACAUGGGACCAGGCCGUGCAUCAUCACCAGCCCUGGGACCAGUGGUACCACCGAAGAGAGCAGCAACUGGUGUGGGACUAGUGGGCCCAGCAGGCCCAGCUGCUGACAACCCGAUGGAUGAUGCUUCAAUAGGCUCUUCAGCGACACACACAUGCCGCUCUAGGAAGAGCCACUUAGUAAAGCCUCGUCUUGCGAUAGAGCAAGAGGCCGAUAGGACUUAAUCAUGCCUCAUGGAGAUCGGUGAGUGUAAUAUAUUAACUUGUCUCAUAUAACUAUUAU